AUUUUUCCUCAGUCAUACAGCAAUAUAAAAUGCAUAUCUGAACAAAUGCUUGAGCACAUAACAUCUGAAACCCAAAUCUUGUGCCUGGAGGAAGGAAGGAAACAAAAUCUCUUCUCAUCGCCCUCCUCUUCCAGCUUUGCUGUAUAGCCUGUACAUAACGUGCAAUUGCAAGCUAUUGAGCACCUGGUGCAUCUCUCAUGCUCAU
rnacentral:misc_RNA from 1 species